rnacentral:rRNA from 1 species
GACGAACGCUGGCGGCGUGCUUAACACAUGCAAGUCGAACGGAAAGGCCCCUUCGGGGGUACUCGAGUGGCGAACAGGUGAGUAACACGUGAGUAACCUGCCCUUGACUUCGGGAUAACUUCAGGAAACUGGGGCUAAUACCGGAUAGGAAUCCUUGCUGCAUGGUGGGGGUUGGAAAGCUUCGGCGGUUUUGGAUGGACUCGCGGCUUAUCAGCUUGUUGGUGGGGUAGUGGCUUACCAAGGCUUUGACGGGUAGCCGGCCUGAGAGGGCGACCGGCCACAUUGGGACUGAGAUACGGCCCAGACUCCUACGGGAGGCAGCAGUGGGGAAUAUUGCACAAUGGGCGGAAGCCUGAUGCAGCAACGCCGCGUGCGGGAUGACGGCCUUCGGGUUGUAAACCGCUAUCAGCAGGGGCGAAGCUUGUGGUGACGGUACCUGCAGAAGAAGCACCGGCUAACUACGUG